AUUGAACCGUUCACUCGUUCCACGUUAAGUUUUCACCUCGUAAAGGGCGUCCUUAGAGCCUACGGGACUUUGUUGAAUUUGUUUGUGUUAAGAGCCGAGAGAGCGCCACGUUAAACCUCCCGGGGUGAAAGUAUUUCAUUGAGGAUGGUCAGUAAAGUGAUUUAAAUCCGCCGUUCAUGAGCCGUGUCCUGUGGGAACGGUUUUGUUCGCGGCUCGAUAAUGACGAGGGGGCUGCCGGGGUCGUUGCCUACGGUUUAGCACCAGUCGUUUGAAACGUCUUUUCGGUGGAGAAUGAUCUCCGAAGUGUUUUUGCUCUGAUGGAUGAAGCCGUGCUGGUGGAUCCGCUGUUGAAGACGCCGAGGGGAGAUAACAGCAGCAGCACAACACUACAGAGCGACAGCGAAAGCUAAGCCCAUCGACGCCGACGUUAACAUCAGGUCACCCGCUCUGUUCUGACCCAUACAGGCAGCUGAUUGCAGUGAGUCAGUAUCAUGGAGGCAGGCUGCGGGGCUGCCGCAGCAGUGGGGAUCUCAGCACUAACACUGCCCGGAGCUCUGACUGCGUCCAGCCAUGAUGUCCUGGACAGUUCAGAGGGAGUAGACUGGCGAAAUGAUGUUUCUCUACAGGAAGGUUUCCAGGUGAGCCCAUCUUCAACAAAAAGUAACCGCUGUGCUUGGUUAGCA
ensembl:lncRNA